rnacentral:lncRNA from 1 species
AUAAAUGAGUCGACCAUUAAUUUAUUUUGAACAUAAAAUAUAAAUAAAUUUUAAUACUUAUCUUUACCAAAUGAUAAUCCAUACGAGAUAUGCAUUAAUUAAAAUUUGAAGUUGGAACCUUUUUAAUGAAAAAAUAACUUAAUUUAAACCAAGUCAUUGUAACUUCCCCAUCUCGGGAACUCACUGGUGUCCUUUGUAGGGUAAGCACCAAGACGAUAGAACCCAUAACAAGGAAAAGAACAAAAAACCCCAUGUUAAAAUAGGGUUUCAUGGAAAGCAGGCUCAAAUUUUCUCAGCCAAUUUGAAAGUUACUAUAAACACUGCACAAUCAGCAGACUAGUUUGUAACUUAUUACUUACAAAAACCAUAAAAUAAACACAUCUAAAACAUGACCUAACUGAAGAUGAAAUCUGCUUUGUACGUCCAUUAGCUUCGGGAUGACCUAACCGGUAAUCGCCAUUUAUUUUCUUUUGCAAAAGCUUCCAUUUUCUGUACGAGGGAACAUCACAGGCAGUGAAUUCAGUUUAUAAAUUAAUAUUCUGUAGCAAGCCAUUAACACAACAAAAAAGCUAAUAAUUCCCAGCAGCCUUUCAUUUAGCUACUUGGCCGAUUUAGUAUUAUUGCUUUACAGACAGAUCAUAGUUACAAUCGCCCUAGGCCCUAGAAACCUCAGCAUCCGAUUCAAUACAUACAGCAAAAAUUCGUAGUGGGUAUGCUCAACUCAGUCCGCAGUACAUUUUAGGCAAGAGAACUACAAACAGCACAAUCCUAUAUUUAAUGUUAUCCUUGAAUCUGAUAUUUUAUCAUCAACUGUUUCUCUAGCAAAGGAAAAGCUGGUUGAGAGUUCUCGGCAGUCAUUGAUGUUAUUGCUUCAAUCAUAUGUCUGGUUGAAUGCAUGUGUGUUUUUCUCAGCGCAGCAAGGAAAACAAAACUGGGAUUAUGCCCUUCUGACUGGUUUUACCAGCUACCCCAGGAGCUAGUUGAACAAAAAAAAAACAAACUAACUAAGCUUUAGAACAAAUUACAAGUUUUCCAUAUUUCUGCAAAUCUUGGACCCAAAACUUUAAGACGACUAAAAGGAUAUUUGUGUAAUUGCACAUGAACUGGGGGGAGACAUCAGACAUGUCUAGGAACUUGUUGCAGUAAGAUAGCAAGACCCAAGAAGGCUUUUUUCGUGGAGCGUGUCCUUUAUGAGAGCUUCGCCUACCAUAUGGUUGCCUUUUUAGGUGGGAGCUUUAAACAAGAAAGUCUGCAACAGCAGCUUCACAGUAAAACCCUAAAAACAUCUGGACUCCAAGUCCUCGAGAGCUGCUUCAAAAUCAUUCAGAGAUUUAAAAACCAGCAGCCAAUUUUAAGAACCAAACACAACAUCUAGUUGGCUAGUUACUUCAUAGUUACCUCACAUAAAAGAGACUUCUUUCGGUAAAAAACACUGUUCUUUAAAGAGUACAAACCUGAAACCUCAGCCCUAGAGUGAGGAAACUGCUGCAUAAUUUCCUUUAAGAGCAAAAACAAUGCUUUACUUUCGUAGUCCGGUCAAAGAAUGAGAAGCCACCGCCAUUAAGAAGUUGAGAAUAUCUAUGUAAAUGUCCAUGAACAACAAACGAACAAGCUACAGUUGAAGGAUGAUGAUCAUAUUAUUCCAACAUUACCUCGCAGUGGCUGUCAUGAAAAACCUUGAGGAAAGUAGCGUUUGGGGUGUUGAUAAAAUCGUGAUGUGAGGAAAUAAAAAUAAAAAAUUAUGAAAAGGAUUAAAUAAAAUAAUAGCAAAGGAGGGAGGGAGCUCCCUUCAGUCCAAGCACAGGAAGAUUAGGAUUCAAUUUGUCUCCCGCAUCAUUCACUCAUUUACUGGGUUUUGUAACACAGUAUUUGGAUGAAUGAGUCGGCAGCUAAUUAAACCCCAUCCCCAUCCCAUGAGUGGACUGAAGAAAGCUCUCUCUUACCUAUCAGAUCAUCAAUCACAAAGCUUUAAAACAAAAUAACACAACAACAUAUAUAAACACCUGUGAACUGAAAAAAAAAAAAAAAGAGCCAUGUCUCUCAUCUCAUGCAACCCUAGACUAGAGAACCACAAACAAAAAAGAAUAGGUGAGUUAGAAAUUAGCCAUACAAAUUGCUCUCCACUGUGACAGGUUGAAAUGGAUCAUGGGUUAAACCGAGUGGAAGUGGAAGCUGCUUCAGCAAUUAAGAGAAAGAAGGGAAAGGGAGAGUAAAGAAAGCGACUGUUUAAAAAAGGAAGAUCUUUGCACAAAGGCCAGUCAAAGAGAGAGACUCGAAGAAGAAAAAGGUGAGAGUGGAGAGCUUUUUUCUUCCUUCGUUUAUUUCUAUUAUGACAAGCAAACUCGGGCUAUAGCAGCUAUGGUGGAUCCGUAAGUGGAAGGAUACGCCAUUAUAUAAGCUAAUAAAGAAAGGGCUCUGUUCAAACUAGGGUGUAAUCUGUGUCUUUGAGAAAGUUCGAGUUAAUUUUUUGAUUUUGAGAUUUUAAGUUGUUUGAAGUCUUAAUUACAGUUAAGAUAUGUUUGAAGAGUUGGUAUUAAAUCAAUUUAGGUGUAAUUUUACGC